GAUGAACGCUGGCGGCGUGCCUAAUACAUGCAAGUCGAGCGAACGGACGAGAAGCUUGCUUCUCUGAUGUUAGCGGCGGACGGGUGAGUAACACGUGGAUAACCUACCUAUAAGACUGGGAUAACUUCGGGAAACCGGAGCUAAGACCGGAUAAUAUUUUGAACCGCAUGGUUCAAAAGUGAAAGACGGUCUUGCUGUCACUUAUAGAUGGAUCCGCGCUGCAUUAGCUAGUUGGUAAGGUAACGGCUUACCAAGGCAACGAUGCAUAGCCGACCUGAGAGGGUGAUCGGCCACACUGGAACUGAGACACGGUCCAGACUCCUACGGGAGGCAGCAGUAGGGAAUCUUCCGCAAUGGGCGAAAGCCUGACGGAGCAACGCCGCGUGAGUGAUGAAGGUCUUCGGAUCGUAAAACUCUGUUAUUAGGGAAGAACAUAUGUGUAAGUAACUGUGCACAUCUUGACGGUACCUAAUCAGAAAGCCACGGCUAACUACGUG
rnacentral:rRNA from 1 species